AUACUCACUGGAGUGUGACCAAACUCUAAACAGCCCACCUCUUAAAUAGAACUGAGUCCUUUCCCUCCCACACCCAGAAACCAUCAAUUGUGGAGAACUACACUCAGCAUUCUUAUCAUACUUUUUAAGAGUUCUCUUUGAUGAUUUCUUGUUUUAACUGUUAAUUGGGGAGGGGCCAGAUUUUGGGGGCGUGGGGGUCAUCACAGAAGCCUUCCAACUGUGCAUCUGCAGUCAUUAAUAUCACAGUCAAAGUAGCUGUCUUGCUCUUUACAGUCCGUGGGAGCAUGGAGCAUGGAGCAUGGAGCAUGGAGCAUGGAGCAUGGAGCAUGGAGCAUGGAGCAUGGAGCAUGGAGCAUGGAGCAUGGAGCAUGGAGCAUGGAGCAUGGAGCAUGGAGCAUGGAGCAUGGAGCAUGGAGCAUGGAGCAUGGGCAUCCUAAUGGUUUCUGGCCUCAGCACAGACCACAAACAUGGCUGCUGGUUACAGUAGGGCCACAGACCUCAGAGGCAGCACAGGUGCCUCAUAUCAAUAUGUCUCCUGGUAGCAGCACAGCCCUCAGACAUCAGAUGGCCUCAUGCUGCACCACAGACCAUGGAUCUCCUCUUGGCAUUUGGUGGUAACAUGAACACAGACGCCAGCUACAGUUGGACUAUGGACCUGACAUGGCCCUAGGAAGUAGCAUGGGCCUGGACAUCACCAUGGCCUCCAGUAGCAGUGCCGGUCACUCAGAUCAGUAUGGCCUCCAGUGGUCCCGUGGCCCAUGGACAUCAACAUGGAUUCAGGUGGCAGCAGAGACCAUGAACAUCUACAUGACCUUUGAGGACCCCAUGGGCCAUGAAGAUCAACACAGACCCUGGCAAUGGUACCAAUGGCUGUGCAACAGCUCAUUUUCGUCAAAUAAAGACAUAAACCCAACACAGCUCGCCCAGGACUGGGAGGAAAAGGUGCUGGAACCCGGGACCCAAGCCCUGAGCGGG
rnacentral:lncRNA from 1 species